GCCCUCGUGGCGGAACAGGUAGACGCAUCGGACUUAAAAUCCGCUGGCCGUGAGGCCGUCCCGGUUCGAUUCCGGGCGUGGGCACCA
rnacentral:tRNA from 1 species